UCUCCGUUGGUGAACCAGCGGAGGGAUCAUUACAGAGUUGCAAAACUCCCAAACCAUUGUGAACGUUACCUAUCCCGUCGCUUCGGCGGGCAGCCCGGGCCCCGCGCCCGGCGCCCCCCGGCCCCCCGUGGGCGCCCGCCGGAGGUAAACCAAACCCUUGAAUUGCAUGGCCUCUCUGAGUCUUCUGUACUGAAUAAGUCAAAACUUUCAACAACGGAUCUCUUGGUUCUG
rnacentral:misc_RNA from 1 species